rnacentral:rRNA from 1 species
UGCCAUCAUUGAGUUGGGCACUCUGGAGGGACUGCCGGUGUCAAACCGGAGGAAGGUGGGGAUGACGUCAAGUCCUCAUGGCCUUUAUGACCAGGGCUACACACGUGCUACAAUGGCCGGUACAAAGGGUCGCCAACUCGCGAGAGGGAGCUAAUCCCAAAAAACCGGUCUCAGUUCGGAUUGGAGUCUGCAACUCGACUCCAUGAAGUCGGAAUCGCUAGUAAUCGCAGAUCAGCACGCUGCGGUGAAUACGUUCCCGGGCCUUGUACACACCGCCCGUCACACCAUGGGAGUCGAUUGCUCCAGAAGUCGGUGCGCCAACCGCAAGGAGGCAGCCGCCCAAGGAGUGGUCGGUAACUGGGGUG